GUGCUUGCUUUGGCAGCACAUAUACUAAAAUUGUAAUGAUACAAAAAGAUUUAGCAUUGCCCCUGCACAAAGAUGACAUGCAAAUUCAAGACAUGUUCCGUUAACAA
ensembl:snRNA U6 U6 spliceosomal RNA